CUCCCUCCCAUCUCUCACACUACACCUCACCAAUGGCUCUCCUAUUGCUCUUCUCUGUCCUCACCAUCCCUUCCCUUGUUUCCUCUUCCCCAGUUCAUGACCCAGAGCUUGUAGUACACCAAGUGCAUAGGGCCAUCAAUGCCUCCAGGAGGAACUUGGGUUAUCUCUCUUGUGGAACCGGUAACCCCAUUGACGAUUGCUGGAGGUGCGACCCCAAUUGGGAUAAGAACCGCCAGCGCCUGGCGGAUUGUGCUAUUGGGUUCGGUAAGAAUGCCAUUGGAGGAAGAGAUGG
rnacentral:misc_RNA from 1 species